GCUACAUUUCUGUUGUUUACCCAUCUGUGUGCUCUAAAGUUGGUUGCCAAUGGAGUUGGUUGUAGAUUCUGGAGUGAAGAAGAUGGAGGGUGAAGCAAUGAGGAAGAAUCAAACUCUAAUUUGUGCACCAAUUAUGGCUGAUUCAGUGGAUCAAAUGUUGAUUCUUAUGCAAAAGGCUAAAAUUAGUGGGGCUGAUCUUGUGGAGGUUCGAGUGGAUAGCUUGAAAAGCUUUAAUCCUCGCCCAGAUAUUGAUACCCUGAUCAAACAAUGCCCUUUGCCUACUCUCUUCACUUACAGGCCCACUUGGGAAGGUGGUCAGUAUGCUGGUGAUGAAAAGAGUCGAUUGGAUGCACUUCGAUUAGCGAUGGAGUUGGGAGCUGAUUACAUUGAUGUUGAGCUAAAGGCUAUUGGCGAGUUCAACAAUGCCCUACAUGGAAAUAAAUCUGCAAAAUGCAAACUUAUUGUUUCUUCUCACAACUAUGAAAGCACACCGUCAGCUGAGGAUCUUGGCAAUCUAGUAGCAAGAAUACAGGCAUCUGGAGCUGACAUUGUGAAAUUUGCUACAACUGCACAGGAUAUCACUGAUGUUGCACGUGUUUUCCAAAUUACUGUUCAUUCUCAAGUUCCAAUAAUAGCCAUGGUCAUGGGAGAGAAGGGUUUGAUGUCUCGGAUACUUUGUCCAAAAUUUGGUGGAUACCUCACGUUUGGUACUCUUGAAGUGGGAAAAGUUUCAGCUCCUGGGCAACCAACAGUCGAAGAUCUUCUGAAUUUAUACAAUUUCAGACAGUUGGGACCAGAUACCAAAAUAUUUGGCAUUAUUGGGAAGCCAGUUAGCCAUAGCAAAUCACCUUUAUUAUAUAAUGAAUCCUUCAGAUCAGUUGGGUUUAAUGGUGUUUUCAUGCAUUUGCUGGUAGAUGAUAUUGCAAACUUUUUCCGGACUUAUUCAUCAUUAGAUUUUGCUGGAUUCAGCUGUACAAUUCCUCACAAAGAAGCCGCUCUUGACUGCUGUGCUGAAAUUGAUCCUACUGCUAAGGCAAUAGGGGCUGUCAAUUGUAUUAUAAGGCGACCUGAUGGGAAGUUAUUUGGUUGUAAUACAGACUAUAUCGGUGCUAUUUCCGCCAUUGAAGAAGGAUUGCAAGGUUCACAACCUAGUAUAUCUGGGUCACCUUUGGCUGGUAAAUU
rnacentral:misc_RNA from 1 species